GCUUGUCUCAAAGAUUAAGCCAUGCAUGUCUAAGUAUAAACAAAUCUAUACGUGAAACUGCGAAUGGCUCAUUAUAUCAGUUAUAGUUUAUUUGAUGGUCCUUACUACUUGGAUAACCGUAGUAAUUCUAGAGCUAAUACAUGACUCAAAGACCGACUUACGAAGGUCUGUGUUUAUUAGAUGGAAACCAAUGCGGGGCAACCCGGUAUAUGGUGAUUCAUAAUAACUUUCGGAUCGAUUUAUCGAUGCAUCAUUCAAGUUUCUGCCCUAUCAGCUUUGGAUGGUAGGGUAUUGGCCUACCAUGGCUUUAACGGGUAACGGAGAAUUAGGGUUCGAUUCCGGAGAGGGAGCCUGAGAAAUGGCUACCACAUCCAAGGAAGGCAGCAGG
rnacentral:rRNA from 1 species